UACAGAGGUCUCGAGCGUUAGGCGGAAUCACUGGGCUUAAAGCGUGUGUAGGCGGGUCGUUAAGUGCCUUGUGAAAUCCCCCGGCUCAACUGGGGAACUGCACAGGAGACUGCUUGGCUUGAGUUCGGGAGAGGGAAGCGGAAUUCCGGGUGUAGCGGUGAAAUGCGUAGAUAUCCGGAGGAACACCGGUGGCGAAGGCGGCUUCCUGGACCGACACUGACGCUGAGGCGCGAAAGCCAGGGGAGCAAACGGG
rnacentral:rRNA from 1 species